rnacentral:rRNA from 1 species
GAGUAACGCGUAUGCGACCUGCCCGUUGCAGGGGGAUAAUCGGGAGAAAUCCCGUCUAAUACCGCGUAACGCCGCGGGGCUGCAUGGCCCUGCGGCCAAAGGAAGCGAUUCCGGCAACGGAUGGGCAUGCGUGACAUUAGCUAGUUGGCGGGGCAACGGCCCACCAAGGCGACGAUGUCUAGGGGUUCUGAGAGGAAGGUCCCCCACACUGGUACUGAGACACGGACCAGACUCCUACGGGAGGCAGCAGUGAGGAAUAUUGGUCAAUGGGCGCGAGCCUGAACCAGCCAAGUCGCGUGAGGGAUGACGGCCCUACGGGUUGUAAACCUCUUUUGUCGGGGAGCAAAUUCCGCCACGCGUGGCGGAGUCGAGAGUACCCGAAGAAAAAGCAUCGGCUAACUCCGUGCCAGCAGCCGCGGUAAUACGGAGGAUGCGAGCGUUAUCCGGAUUUAUUGGGUUUAAAGGGUGCGUAGGCGGACUGUCAAGUCAGCGGUAAAAUACGGGGGCUCAACCUCCGCCCGCCGUUGAAACUGACGGUCUUGAGUGGGCGAGAAGUAUGCGGAAUGCGUGGUGUAGCGGUGAAAUGCAUAGAUAUCACGCAGAACUCCGAUUGCGAAGGCAGCAUACCGGCGCCCAACUGACGCUGA